rnacentral:tRNA from 1 species
GGAGAGGUGCCAGAGCGGCCGAAUGGGCCGGUUUCGAAAACCGGUGGAGGUGUUAUCACAUCUCCCGGGGGUUCGAAUCCCCCCCUCUCCGCCA